UCGGGAAUUUUGGGCAAUGGGCGAAAGCCUGACCCAGCAACGCCGCGUGAAGGAUGAAGUAUUUCGGUAUGUAAACUUCGAAAGAAUAGGAAGAAUAAAUGACGGUACUAUUUAUAAGGUCCGGCUAACUACGUGCCAGCAGCCGCGGUAAUACGUAGGGACCAAGCGUUGUUCGGAUUUACUGGGCGUAAAGGGUGCGUAGGCGGCAUAUCAAGUCACUUGUGAAAUCUCCGGGCUUAACUCGGAACUGCCAAGUGAUACUGAUGUGCUAGAGUGCAGAAAGGGCAACUGGAAUUCUUGGUGUAGCGGUGAAAUGCGUAGAUAUCAAGAGGAACACCUGAGGUGAAGACGGGUUGCUGGGCUGACACUGACGCUGAGGCGCGAAAGCCAGGGGAGCAAACGGGAUUAGAUACCCUUGUAGUCCCUGAGCGGGCUGGCAAGGCGCAU
rnacentral:rRNA from 1 species